rnacentral:tRNA from 1 species
GGGCCAGUAGUUCAGUGGUAGAAUGUCUGAUUCGCAUUCAGAAGGUCGCGAGUUCGAUUCUCGCCUGGUCCACCA